rnacentral:rRNA from 1 species
CCCACUUUAAUUUGAUGGAUAUCGUACGCAAUAAAUAUAUUUAAAUAUGGACUUUAAAGAAAUAUAAUAAUCCAGUUUAAAAUUUUAAAGAAUGUAAGAAAUUAUAAUUUAGAUAGUUUGGUAAUUUAGGUUUAUUAGGUGCCAGCAACCGCGGUCAAACCUAAUAAGUAAGCUAUACAGGCCCAUUAAAUAAAUGAAAUAUUUCUUUUAAGGAGACAAUAAGUAGUGAAAUAUUAUUAUCCUAUUAUAUCUUAUGUAAGAAAAGUUAUAUACAGCUAAACUCAGUAUUUAAAACUAGGAUUAGAGACCCUACUAUUAUGAACAAAAAUAUUUAUUUUUUAAGGAGUAAAAUUAUUAAAUUUAAACUUUAAAAUUAUGGCGGCUAAACAAAGCACUUAGGGGAACUUACCAUAUAAUUGAUAACCACCAAGCAUAAUCAUACUUAUUAUAAAAAUUUGUAUACCGUUGUCUUCAUAAAUCCUUCGAGGGGGUUUAUAAGUAUUAUUCAAAUACUCAGACAAAUCAAGGUGCAGUCAAUUAAUAAGAAAUAAGGUGAGUUACAAUAAAUAAUUUUUUCGGACUUUAGAAUGAAAUAUAUAUAUAAAGAUGGACUUAAAAGUAAUAUUUAAG